CCUGGAUCCAGCCAUGCCGCGGUGAGUGAUGAAGGCCCUAGGGUUGUAAAGCUCUUUCACCGGUGAAGAUAAUGACGGUAACCGGAGAAGAAGCCCCGGCUAACUUCGUGCCAGCAGCCGCGGUAAUACGAAGGGGGCUAGCGUUGUUCGGAUUUACUGGGCGUAAAGCGCACGUAGGCGGACUUUUAAGUCAGGGGUGAAAUCCCGGGGCUCAACCCCGGAACUGCCUUUGAUACUGGAAGUCUUGAGUAUGGUAGAGGUGAGUGGAAUUCCGAGUGUACAGGUGAAAUUC
rnacentral:rRNA from 1 species